GAGGGUAUAGUUCAAGUGGCAGAGCACAUGCUUAGCAUGCGUGAGGUCCUGAGUUCAAUCCCCAGUGCCUCCU
rnacentral:tRNA from 1 species